UUGGAGGGCAAGUCUGGUGCCAGCAGCCGCGGUAAUUCCAGCUCCAAUAGCGUAUAUUAAAGUUGCUGCAGUUAAAAAGCUCGUAGUUGAAUUUCGGGACUAUCAUGUCGGUCGUGCCUCGGUACGUACUGGUAUUGUUGGUUUCUCCCUUCUGACGAACCAUGAUGUCAUUUAUUUGGUGUUGUGGGGAAUCAGGACCGUUACUUUGAAAAAAUUAGAGUGUUUAAAGCAGGCUCACGCUUGAAUACAUUAGCAUGGAAUAAUGAAAUAGGACGCUUGAUUCUAUUUUGUUGGUUUCUAGGAUCGACGUAAUGAUUAAUAGGGAUAGUCGGGGGCAUUAGUAUUCAAUUGUCAGAGGUGAAAUUCUUGGAUUUAUUGAAGACUAACUACUGCGAAAGCAUUUGCCAAGGAUGUUUUCAUUAAUCAAGAACGAAAGUUAGGGGAUCGAAGACGAUCAGAUACCGUCGUAGUCUUAACCAUAAACUAUGCCGACUAGGGAUCGGAUGAUGUUAAUUUUUUAAUGACUCAUUCGGCGCCUUACCGGGAAAC
rnacentral:rRNA from 1 species